AUUGAACGCUGGCGGCAGGCCUAACACAUGCAAGUCGAGCGGAUGAAGGGUGCUUGCUCCUUGAUUCAGCUGCCGACGGGCGAGUAAUUCCUAGGAACCUCGCUAUUAGCUGUGUAGAAGGUGCUGAAAUGGGCGCUAAUACCCCAUUCGUGCUUACGGAGAAAGGGUGGGAGCUUCGGACCUCACGCUAUUAGAUGAUCCUAGGUCGGAUUAGCGAGUUGGUGGGGUAAAGGCCUACCAAGGCGACGAUCCGUAACUGGUCUGAGAGGAUGAUCAGUCACACUGGAACUGAGACACGGUCCAGACUCCUACGGGAGGCAGCAGUGGGGAAUAUUGGACAAUGGGCGAAAGCCUGAUCCAGCCAUGCCGCGUGUGUGAAGAAGGUCUUCGGAUUGUAAAGCACUUUAGGUUGGAAAGAAGAGCAGUAAGUUAAUACCUCGCUGUUCUGACGUUACCAAAAGAAUAAGCACCGGCUAACUUCGUG
rnacentral:rRNA from 1 species